rnacentral:rRNA from 1 species
UACGUAGGUGGCGAGCGUUAUCCGGAAUUAUUGGGCGUAAAGCGCGCGCAGGUGGUUUCUUAAGUCUGAUGUGAAAGCCUACGGCUUAACCGUAGAAUUGCAUUGGAAACUGGGGGACUUGAGUGCAGAAGAGGAAAGUGGAAUUCCACGUGUAGCGGUGAAAUGCGUAGAGAUGUGGAGGAACACCGGUGGCGAAGGCGACUUUCUGGUCUGCAACUGACACUGAGGCGCGAAAGCGUGGGGAGCAAACA